rnacentral:rRNA from 1 species
CGUUAGCGGCGGACGGGUGGGUAACACGUGGAUAACCUACCUAUAAGACUGGGAUAACUUCGGGAAACCGUAGCUAAUACCGGAUAAUAUAUUGAACCGCAUGGUUCAAUAGUGAAAGACGGUUUUGCUGUCACUUAUAGAUGGAUCCGCGCCGCAUUAGCUAGUUGGUAAGGUAACGGGUUACCAAGGCAACGAUGCGUAGCCGACCUGAGAGGGUGAUCGGCCACACUGGAACUGAGACACGGUCCAG